UGAGGAAUAUUGGGUCAAUGGGUCGCGAGACUGAACCAGCCAAGUAGCGUGCAGGAUGACGGCCCUCUGGGUUGUAAACUGCUUUUAGUUGGGAAUAAAAGGCGGUACGUGUACCGCGUAUUGUAUGUACCAUCAGAAAAGCACCGGCUAACUCCGUGCCAGCAGCCGCGGUAAUACGGAGGGUGCAAGCGUUAAUCGGAAUAACUGGGCGUAAAGGGCAUGCAGGCGGUUCAUCAAGUAGGAUGUGAAAUCCCCGGGCUCAACCUGGGAACAGCAUACUAAACUGGUGGACUAGAGUAUUGCAGGGGGAGACGGAAUUCCAGGUGUAGCGGUGGAAUGCGUAGAUAUCUGGAAGAACACCAAAGGCGAAGGCAGUCUCCUGGGCAAAUACUGACGCUCAUAUGCGAAAGCGUG
rnacentral:rRNA from 1 species